UCCAGAGAACUUAGCAGAGAUGCUUUGGUGCCUUCGGGAACGUCUGAGACAGGUGCUGCAUGGCUGUCGUCAGCUCGUGUUGUGAAAUGUUUGGGUUAAGUCCCGCAACGAGCGCAACCCUUAUCCUUUGUUGCCAGCGGCUCGGCCGGGAACUCAAAGGAGACUGCCGGUGAUAAACCGGAGGAAGGUGGGGAUGACGUCAAGUCAUCAUGGCCCUUACGGCCAGGGCUACACACGUGCUACAAUGGCGCAUACAAAGAGAAGCGACCUCGCGAGAGCAAGCGGACCUCAUAAAGUGCGUCGUAGUCCGGAUUGGAGUCUGCAACUCGACUCCAUGAAGUCGGAAUCGCUAGUAAUCGUAGAUCAGAAUGCUACGGUGAAUACGUUCCCGGGCCUUGUACACACCGCCCGUCACACCAUGGGAGUGGGUUGCAAAAGAAGUAGGUAGCUUAACCUUCGGGAGGGCGCUUACCACUUUGUGAUUCAUGACUGGGGUGAAGUCGUAACAAGGUAGGCGUAGCGAG
rnacentral:rRNA from 1 species